UAAGCAUACUGGAAGGUGUGCUUGGAAUCGAAAUAUAGUUUAAUCAAAACACCUUGCUUACACCAAGAAAUUAUCUGUGAAAAUCAAAUCAUUUCGAGCCUAACAUCUAGCCUAACUCACACAAAUGUAAUAACCUCAUUUUACCUCCCCCAACUAAACCAUUCACCAAUUUUAGUAGAGGCGAUCAAAAAAAUUUUAGAGCUACAAACGCAGUACCGCAAGGGAACGAUGAAAUAGAAAUGAAAUAAACCAAAGCCAAACAUAAUAGAGACUUAACCUCGUACCUUUUGCAUCAUGGUCUAGCUAGUUUAAUCAAGCAAAAAGAAUUAAAGUUUGACCCCCCGAAACCAAGUGAGCUACUCCAAGGCAGCCUUAUGAGCACACCCAUCUCUGUAGCAAAAGAGUGGGAUGACCUUCGAGUAGAGGUGACAGACCUAACGAGCUUGGCGAUAGCUGGUUAUCCAAGAAAAGGAUUUAAGUCCAACAUUAAACGCCUAAAAACCAUUAUAAGUCCAACUGAAAUUUAAUGUUCAAUCAAAUAAGGUACAGCUUAUUUGAUCCAGGAAACAACCUAUAAAAAAGGAUAAUGCCCCUCCCAUCUGCUUAUCAGUAGGCUUAAAAGCAGCCACCUACAACAAAAGCGUCACAGCUUAAACUCAGAAAAUAAAAAUUUCAAAUUUACCCCAGAAUCCUAUACUACCAUUGAAUAACUCUAUAUCUCUAUAGAAAAUAUUAUGCUAGAACUAGUAACAAGAAUAAGAUAUUCUCUUUAAUGUAAACCCAAAUCAGACUAGACAAACCACUGAUAUCUAACGCUCAUGAACUCAAAGUAGCAACGACUCAAGAAAAAACUACUAAAUAUGACGUUAACCUAACACAAGAACAUUUAAAGAAAGAUUAAAAGACAUGGAAGGAACUCGGCAAACCUUAACUUCGCCUGUUUACCAAAAACAUCGCCUCUUGACAAAAAUAAGAGGUCCAGCCUGCCCAGUGAUAAUAUUCAACGGCCGCGGUAUCCUGACCGUGCGAAGGUAGCGUAAUCACUUGUUCUGUAAAUUAGGACUCGUAUGAAUGGCACCACGAAAGUUAUGCUGUCUCCCAUAUUCAAUCAGUGAAACUAAUCUCCCCGUGAAGAAGCGGGGAUAAACUUAUAAGACGAGAAGACCCCAUGGAGCUUAAAACACAAGGCACCCCCAAUAUAUCCCCAAAAUUAAAAAUUUGCCCUAAGUUUUCGGUUGGGGCGACCACGGAGAACAACUAACCCUCCACGCUGAAUGGAACUAUUCCUAAACCAAAAGCUACCCCUUUACGUAUCAACAACCUGACAAUCAUUGACCCAAUUAAUUUGACCAACGGACCAAGUUACCCUGGGGAUAACAGCGCAAUCCAUCUCAAGAGCCCAUAUCGACAGAUGGGUUUACGACCUCGAUGUUGGAUCAGGGUAUCCCAGUGGUGCAGCCGCUACUAAAGGUUCGUUUGUUCAACGAUUAAAACCCU
rnacentral:rRNA from 1 species